rnacentral:rRNA from 1 species
UACUGCUCAGUAACACGUAGCUAACCUGCCCUUAAGUCGAGGAUACUCUCGGGAAACUGAGGUUAAUACUCGAUAGGAGAUAUACCCUGGAAUGAUGUAUCUCUCAAAUUCGCGCUUAAGGAUGGGGCUGCGGUGGAUUAGGUUGUUGGCGGGGUAAAUGCCCACCAAGCCGAUGAUCCAUAAGGGCUCUUAGCGGAGAAGCCCUGAGAGGGAAUCUUAGACACUAUUCCCAGCCCUACGGGGUGCAGCAGUUAGGAAUCUUCUGCAAUGCGCGCAAGCGUGACAGAUUGAGCCAGAGUGCUUUUCAAUUGAAAAGCUUUUGCCAAAUGUAAAAAGUUUGGCGAAUAAGGACUGGGUAAGACGAGUGCCAGCAGCCGCGGUAAU